CAUGCAGUCGAGCGGAGAGAGGUAGCUUGCUACCGAUCUUAGCGGCGGACGGGUGAGUAAUGCUUAGGAAUCUGCCUAUUAGUGGGGGACAACAUUUCGAAAGGAAUGCUAAUACCGCAUACGUCCUACGGGAGAAAGCAGGGGAUCUUCGGACCUUGCGCUAAUAGAUGAGCCUAAGUCGGAUUAGCUAGUUGGUGGGGUAAAGGCCUACCAAGGCGACGAUCUGUAGCGGGUCUGAGAGGAUGAUCCGCCACACUGGGACUGAGACACGGCCCAGACUCCUACGGGAGGCAGCAGUGGGGAAUAUUGGACAAUGGGCGCAAGCCUGAUCCAGCCAUGCCGCGUGUGUGAAGAAGGCCUUAUGGUUGUAAAGCACUUUAAGCGAGGAGGAGGCUACUUUAGUUAAUACCUAGAGAUAGUGGACGUUACUCGCAGAAUAAGCACCGGCUAACUCUGUGCCAGCAGCCGCGGUAAUACAGAGGGUGCAAGCGUUAAUCGGAUUUACUGGGCGUAAAGCGCGCGUAGGCGGCUAAUUAAGUCAAAUGUGAAAUCCCCGAGCUUAACUUGGGAAUUGCAUUCGAUACUGGUUAGCUAGAGUGUGGGAGAGGAUGGUAGAAUUCCAGGUGUAGCGGUGAAAUGCGUAGAGAUCUGGAGGAAUACCGAUGGCGAAGGCAGCCAUCUGGCCUAACACUGACGCUGAGGUGCGAAAGCAUGGGGAGCAAACAGGAUUAGAUACCCUGGUAGUCCAUGCCGUAAACGAUGUCUACUAGCCGUUGGGGCCUUUGAGGCUUUAGU
rnacentral:rRNA from 1 species